GGGGCCGUAGCUUAGCAUGGUUGGAGCACCCGGCUGAUAGAGCCCCUUUGGAAAAGGUGCUUCACCCCCAAAGGGUGCUUCAGAUACCGGGAGGUCGCCGGUUCAAAUCCGGUCGGCCCCA
rnacentral:tRNA from 1 species